GACGAACGCUGGCGGCGUGCCUAAUACAUGCAAGUAGGACGCAGUUGCGAACGGGUGAGUAACGCGUAGGUAACUGCCUAUUAGAGGGGGAUAACUAUUGGAAACGAUAGCUAAUACCGCAUACUAGUAGCUGGAUCUGCGUUGUAUUAGAUAGUAGGUAGGGUAAUGGCCUACCUAGGCAACGAUACAUAGCCGACCUGGGAGGGUGGUCGGCCACCCUGGGACUGAGACACGGCCCAGACCCCUACGGGAAGCAGCAGUAGGGAAUCUUCGGCGAUGGGGGGCACACUGACCGAGCAACGCCGCGUGAGUGAAGAAGGGUUUCGGAUCGGAAAGCUCUGUUGUUAAGGAAGCGGUACUUAACCAGAAAGGGACGGCUAACUACGUGCCAGCAGCCGCGGUAAUAC
rnacentral:rRNA from 1 species